rnacentral:rRNA from 1 species
UACGUAGAGUGCAAGCGUUGCCCGGAUUUAUUGGGCGUAAAGAGCUCGUAGGCGGCCUGUCGCGUCGGCUGUGAAAACCCGAGGCUCAACCUCGGGCCUGCAGUCGAUACGGGCAGGCUAGAGUUCGGUAGGGGAGACUGGAAUUCCUGGUGUAGCGGUGAAAUGCGCAGAUAUCGGGAAGAACACCCGUGGCGAAGGCGGCUCUCUGGGACGGUACUGACGCUGAGACGCGAAAGCGUGGGGAGCGAACAGG